GGUUCGAUGGUGUAGUUGGUUAUCACUUCUGUCUAACAGAACUGUCAAAUUUACAGUAAUCUGUCGCACAGGCGGUCCUCAGUUCGAACCUGGGUCGAAUCA